GACAAAAUUCUGGACAUUGUUGCUGACCACACAACGGUGAAAUCACUCAUUCUUCACACUGGGGCCUUGGAUGUUGUGAAGCAACAAUCUGAGCUUCCCUGGCCAAGGACAAGAGACAAGACAAAACAAAACAGAAGAUAAGACCACAUUCUGGAGGAAAACGACUGAGAUCGCUGAGCCAGGAGGAGUCUUCAUUGCCGCCACCUUCACCCCCCCAAGA